CUGGCCGCCCGGUACCGGGCCAAGCAGCUGCACCUACACUGGUCCAAGGUGCCGGACUGGGGCUCGGAGCACAGCUUCGACGGGGAGCGCUUUGCCAUGGAGAUGCACGUGGUACAUGAGAAAGAAAAGGGGACAUCGAGGAACACGAACAAGAACCAGGACCCCAAAGAUGAGACCGCAGUGCUCGCCUUCAUGGUGGAGGCCGGAUCCGAGAAUGUUAACUUCCGGCC